UCAAGAGACAAGUUCUUCCACAGCAUUUUAUUUUUCAGGAGGUGAUCAUGAAGAGAUAAUAGAUGUUUCAUUUUUCAGUCAAGCAAAUGUAACUCCCACCUACUCCGUGGAGACUGCUAGAUUACAGCAGCCAGCCUGGGAGGUACAUCAAAUUCUGUUGCAUCGUGCAGAUGGUUAUCAUUUAAGAUGCAAAAGUCCGUGUCAGUCUGAUAUACAGCCAUAUGAAAGUCAUAAGCAGCUGAAGAAGGAGAGGCUAGUGAAGAACAACAAACUGCUUUUUCAAAAAUACUGGCCUCAUAACUUGUAUGGUAUACAAUUACAACAAUACUGGUAAUUAAGCUUAAAUGUUGGCCAUUCUUUCUGGAUGUUACAAUAGAGUAUUUUGAUACCAGAAAGCUGUAUGGAAAAGAAACGUUGAGCACUGCCAUCAUAGAUGGCACUUUGACUACUACCUAAACCUUGCCUAUGACAACCCUGAGCUAUGCAGGGCACCUUCACGAAAUUAAACAACAAAGAUGGAGCAAGAGUCCAUAGGUAAAAAGAAAGAUGCUGUCAAAUCAUUGAGGAAGUCCUUAUGGAGCAGGCCAGCUAGAAGAUGUUGCUUGU